rnacentral:rRNA from 1 species
UACAUAGGGUACAAGCGUUGUCCGGAAUUAUUGGGCGUAAAGAGCUCGUAGGCGGUUGGUCGCGUCUGCUGUGGAAACGCAACGCUUAACGUUGCGCGUGCAGUGGGUACGGGCUGACUAGAGUGCAGUAGGGGAGUCUGGAAUUCCUGGUGUAGCGGUGAAAUGCGCAGAUAUCAGGAGGAACACCGGUGGCGAAGGCGGUUCUCUGGGCCGUACCUGACGCUGAGGAGCGAAAGCAUGGGGAGCAAACAGG